rnacentral:rRNA from 1 species
ACGAACGCUGGCGGCGUGGAUAAGACAUGCAAGUCGAACGAGAGAAUUGCUAGCUUGCUAAUAAUUCUCUAGUGGCGCACGGGUGAGUAACACGUGAGUAACCUGCCCCCGAGAGCGGGAUAGCCCUGGGAAACUGGGAUUAAUACCGCAUAGUAUCGAAAGAUUAAAGCAGCAAUGCGCUUGGGGAUGGGCUCGCGGCCUAUUAGUUAGUUGGUGAGGUAACGGCUCACCAAGGCGAUGACGGGUAGCCGGUCUGAGAGGAUGUCCGGCCACACUGGAACUGAGACACGGUCCAGACACCUACGGGUGGCAGCAGUCGAGAAUCAUUCACAAUGGGGGAAACCCUGAUGGUGCGACGCCGCGUGGGGGAAUGAAGGUCUUCGGAUUGUAAACCCCUGUCAUGUGGGAGCAAAUUAAAAAGAUAGUACCACAAGAGGAAGAGACGGCUAACUCUGUGCCAGCAGCCGCGGUAAUACAGAGGUCUCAAGCGUUGUUCGGAAUCACUGGGCGUAAAGCGUGCGUAGGCUGUUUCGUAAGUCGUGUGUGAAAGGCGCGGGCUCAACCCGCGGACGGCACAUGAUACUGCGAGACUAGAGUAAUGGAGGGGGAACCGGAAUUCUCGGUGUAGCAGUGAAAUGCGUAGAUAUCGAGAGGAACACUCGUGGCGAAGGCGGGUUCCUGGACAUUAACUGACGCUGAGGCACGAAGGCCAGGGGAGCGAAAGGGAUUAGAUACCCCUGUAGUCCUGGCAGUAAACGGUGCACGCUUGGUGUGCGGGGAAUCGACCCCCUGCGUGCCGGAGCUAACGCGUUAAGCGUGCCGCCUGGGGAGUACGGUCGCAAGAUUAAAACUCAAAGAAAUUGACGGGGACCCGCACAAGCGGUGGAGUAUGUGGCUUAAUUCGAUGCAACGCGAAGAACCUUACCUGGGCUUGACAUGUAAUGAACAACAUGUGAAAGCAUGCGACUCUUCGGAGGCGUUACACAGGUGCUGCAUGGCCGUCGUCAGCUCGUGUCGUGAGAUGUUUGGUUAAGUCCAGCAACGAGCGCAACCCCUGUUGCCAGUUACCAGCACGUGAAGGUGGGGACUCUGGCGAGACUGCCCAGAUCAACUGGGAGGAAGGUGGGAACGACGUCAGGUCAGUAUGGCCCUUAUGCCCAGGGCUGCACACGUACUACAAUGCCCAGUACAGAGGGGGCCGAAGCCGCGAGGCGGAGGAAAUCCUGAAAACUGGGCCCAGUUCGGACUGUAGGCUGCAACCCGCCUACACGAAGCCGGAAUCGCUAGUAAUGGCGCAUCAGCUACGGCGCCGUGAAUACGUUCCCGGGUCUUGUACACACCGCCCGUCACAUCAUGGAAGCCGGUCGCACCCGAAGUAUCUGAAGCCAACCGCAAGGAGGCAGGGUCCUAAGGUGAGACUGGUAACUGGGAUG